rnacentral:rRNA from 1 species
UACGAAGGGUGCGAGCGUUACUCGGAAUCACUGGGCUUAAAGCGUUUGUAGGCCGUCUGGUAAGUUUGGUGUGAAAUCCCAUCCCUCAAAGGUGGAAGUGCAUUGAAUACUGCUAGACUAGAGUAUAGGAGAGGUGGACGGAAUUCCUGGUGUAGAGGUGAAAUUCGUAGAUAUCAGGAGGAACAACGGAGGCGAAGGCGGUCCACUGGACUAUAACUGACGCUGAAAAACGAAAGUGUGGGGAGCAAACAGG